GUUUUUCACUUACAGGUUUCUGCAGAUGGCAGGACUAAGUCACUCCCUCAUGCAAUCAACAGUUCCAUAUUUGUGUGAGCUUUGGUUUUCUUUAUACACUCCAACCAAAAUGACCUAUUGCAUAAGUUUGAUAAUAGGAGAUAUGAAAAAAACAGCCAUCUUCUAUUAAGACACUCUGCUGAUUUCUAAACUGAGUUCAGGCUGUUCUUCAUAAUACAGCCUUAUAAAAUGAUGAGGAGAUAUGCAAUACCCCAGCAUCCAUCUGAAACAUCUGAAGUACUCUCUGGAACACUUGGCACACUGCACAGACUUUGAACAAGUAGAUGGAUUUCAGAUAAGUCUUCCA